rnacentral:piRNA from 1 species
UACCAGUGUUCAUUGACUACCUUCGCC